UUAGGGAGCCCUCCAUGUCAUGUGGGGGAGAAUGCCACACCCCACCCACUGGUGAUGCCAGAGAUUCCCAUCAUGGGACCACCUCACGUUUUCAGAUGCUGUGCACCUGGCCUUUGCACAGCCUGUCCAUCAACCAACGCCUGCCCCUCUGAGCAAGUAGAUCAAGAGAACUAGAUGGAGACUUGAAAGGUCAAGUGACAUUAUUCCAGUUUGAUAGAGACUCAGUGUGGUGGCCUGCUUGAAGUCAAGGAAGCCACACCGUUUUCUACUUUAUGAGCCCACCCAUCUUUGCCUCUACCCCCAAACAUGGUGUGGGGCCAAAGGUUGGGGGAGGCCCUGACCCAGCUCGUCCCCAUUUGUGACCCAGAUCUGCACCAAAAACAGCGCCGGAAACCACACCAACCAUCCCCACAUGGACUGUGUCAUCACAGGACGGCCCUGCUGCAUUGGCACCAAGGGCAGGUGUGAGAUCACCUCCCGGGAGUACUGUGACUUCAUGAGGGGUUACUUCCACGAGGAGGCCACACUCUGCUCUCAGGUAGGUCUCCAGAGUAUCCGUCGUUCCCCUCCCCCAGCUGCUGUGAUGCUGAUAUGCUGCUCUGCGCAGGUGCACUGCAUGGAUGAUGUGUGUGGACUCCUGCCUUUCCUCAACCCCGAGGUGCCUGACCAGUUCUACCGCCUGUGGCUAUCCCUCUUCCUGCACGCCGGGCAAGUGACACUGUGGGCCGGGUGGGGGGGGGUCUCAGGGUCCUCAGGAUUGGCUGGCUGGGGGUGGCAGAGAGGUCACUUCUCUGCUGAAUGUCUCCCGACCCCUGCCUGCUACUGACUACAGGAUCCUGCACUGCCUGGUGUCCAUCUGCUUCCAGAUGACUGUCCUGCGGGACCUGGAGAAGCUGGCAGGCUGGCACCGCAUAGCCAUCAUCUACUUGCUGAGUGGUGUCACCGGCAACCUGGCCAGUGCCAUCUUCCUGCCAUACCGAGCAGAG
rnacentral:sRNA from 1 species